GAAAGGUAAAACAGGCUGUGAGUCCUGCGGAUUGUUUGCAAUCAGCUACAACUUGAACUCCAUGAUCUACUCUUUCCCCACUUCUCACUGCUGCACUUGACUAGUU
rnacentral:sRNA from 1 species